rnacentral:rRNA from 1 species
GAUGAACGCUAGCGGCAGGCUUAAUACAUGCAAGCCGUGGGGCAGCAUGAAUGUAGCAAUACAUUUGAUGGCGACCGGCAAACGGGUGCGGAACACGUACACAACCUUCCUAUAAGUGGGGAAUAGCCCAGAGAAAUUUGGAUUAAUACCCCGUAAUAUAACGAUGUGGCAUCACAUUGUUAUUAUAGCUUCGGCGCUUAUUGAUGGGUGUGCGGCUGAUUAGAUAGUUGGCGGGGUAACGGCCCACCAAGUCUACGAUCAGUAGCUGAUGUGAGAGCAUGAUCAGCCACACGGGCACUGAGACACGGGCCCGACUCCUACGGGAGGCAGCAGUAAGGAAUAUUGGUCAAUGGACGCAAGUCUGAACCAGCCAUGCCGCGUGAAGGAUUAAGGUCCUCUGGAUUGUAAACUUCUUUUAUCUGGGACGAAAAAAGGCUUUUCUAAGUCACUUGACGGUACCAGAUGAAUAAGCACCGGCUAACUCCGUGCCAGCCGCCGCCGUAAUAC